UACCAGCUCUCCGAGUGGUAGGGAUGAUUAUUGGGCUUAAAGCGUCCGUAGCCGGCUUAGCAAGUCUCCUGUUAAAUUCAGCGACCUAAUCGUUGAGCCGCGGGAGAUACUACUAGGCUAGGAGGCGGGAGAGGUCAACGGUACUUCCGGGGUAGGGGUGAAAUCCUAUAAUCCCGGGAGGACCACCAGUGGCGAAGGCUGUUGACUAGAACGCGCUCGACGGUGAGGGACGAAAGCUGGGGGAGCGAACCGGAUUAGAUACCCGGGUAGUCCCAGCUGUAAACGAUGCGAGCUAGGCGUUGGGGUGGCUACGUGCCACUUCAGUGCCGCAGGGAAGCCAUUAAGCUCGCCGCCUGGGGAGUACGGCCGCAAGGCUGAAACUUAAAGGAAUUGGCGGGGGAGCACCACAAGGCGUGAAGCUUGCGGUUC
rnacentral:rRNA from 1 species